AGUCGAACGGAAGAUAUACGGCGACGAGAUUUCGGUCGAGUCUAGUGUAUCUUUAGUGGCGGACGGGUGAGUAACGCGUGGGUAACCUGCCUUACACAGGGGGAUAACACUUAGAAAUAGGUGCUAAUACCGCAUAAGCGCACAGUCCCGCAUGGGACAGUGUGAAAAACUGAGGUGGUGUAAGAUGGACCCGCGUCUGAUUAGCUAGUUGGUGGGGUAACGGCCCACCAAGGCGACGAUCAGUAGCCGGUCUGAGAGGGUGGACGGCCACAUUGGGACUGAGACACGGCCCAAACUCUUACGGGAGGCAGCAGUGGGGGAUAUUGGACAAUGGGGGGAACCCUGAUCCAGCGACGCCGCGUGAGUGAAGAAGUAUCUCGGUACGUAAAGCUCUAUCAGCAGGGAAGAAAAGGAACUAAAGUUCCCAUGACGGUACCUGAUUAAGAAGCCCCGGCUAACUACGUGCCAGCAGCCGCGGUAAUACGUAGGGGGCAAGCGUUAUCCGGAUUUACUGGGUGUAAAGGGAGCGUAGACGGCAGCGCAAGUCUGGAGUGAAAUGCCGGGGCCCAACCCCGGAACUGCUUUGGAAACUGUGCAGCUGGAGUGCGGGAGAGGUAAGUGGAAUUCCUAGUGUAGCGGUGAAAUGCGUAGAUAUUAGGAGGAACACCAGUGGCGAAGGCGGCUUGCUGGACC
rnacentral:rRNA from 1 species